GCCUGAGUGGCUCAGUUGGUUGAGCGUCUGACUUCGGCUCAGGUCAUGAUCUCACGGUUUGUGGGUUCGAGCCCCACGUCAGGCU
rnacentral:tRNA from 2 species